rnacentral:lncRNA from 1 species
UUCAGGUGAUCCACCCGCCUCGGCCUCCCAAACUGCUGAGAUUACAGGCAUAAGCCACUGCACCCGGCCCUGGGUUGCUCUUCUAAGAAUAGCUGACUUUAUUAAACAUAUUGUAGGUUUCAUUAAAUGAUGUUUCACAAGGUGUUGCUUCUCCUGGACCAAAUUCCUGUUGUUCAGCUGAGAGCUAUUUCUAAUCUCCAGUGUGGAUGUGCUCAUCAUUUGGUUAUAGGAUGUGAGCAAAUGAGAUGGUGUUCUGCGUAGCCCAGAGGCUGCUUCCAUUAGCCCUUUCCCCAAACUUUUGCCACUUUCAGGCUUAGCAGUAUCCUCUCUUGGGUUCAGAAUGCCUGCUCUUUGCCCUAAUACAAAACCUAGAGCUGUAGGCCAUGUUCUUAUGAUUUGACAGUAUCAGGGAAGCAUUUCUUAUUGACUUUUCCAGAGAAAGAGAGAAAAUAAGCAAGCCGGCAACAAGACAGAGGGGAAAAGGGAAGUGGCUCAGUUCUUACUUUAAGAAACAACAUGGAAGAUAUGUUUGUUGAUUUGAGGGUGGUGAAUUUUUGCACUAUAGCUUUGUGAGGGAGCUGGAAAGAGCCUUUCAGUUUUUCAUGACUGGGAGUUUAAUUUGGUUUAUAACAUUACUUAAAGAUAACUUUGAAAUUGGUCUAAGAACUUAGGGUUGUUCCUGACCCCAGGUCAAUGGCCUACUUGACCUAGGCGAGAGGAGAAAGAGUUAAGGAUAGGGAGUUGAGCUUUUUGCUCCAAAAUCUAUAGAGGGUACACCCCUCUUAUAUUCUGGAGUCUUACUGGGUUUCUGAAAAUGCCCUUGUGGGUCAUGAAACAUAGCCCUUUGAAUAUUUUUCUGCCGCUGCUGAUGUGAGCUGAUUAAACUGGCAGGCAGAUGAUGGAAGGAAUAGUUACAUGUCCCAGGCGGGAGGUCAUGACAGUUGGAUCUGUGGUUGACAGAAGAAUUUCAACACACAUUCAAAUCAGCUCCUAAGAUAGAUUGUCUGAGUUCCCUGGGCCUGCCUCAUGCCCUCCUCAAAUGCAUUUGACUCCUUCUGGCCCGUAAUACUCACACUUCAAAUGUUUGGCUUGGCGUCCACAAAUCAACUCAGGGCCGGGGUAGGGGUACUGAUGAGCAGUGAUGCCCUCUUUGGGAGCUACCACAGCAUAGGAAAUGAACAUUAGACCAGGAAUCAGGUAACCUGGUUGGGGACCCAGGGCUCUAGAUGGUUUAUUUUUUUAUUUUCCUUAUUGGUUAAAUUCCCUACCGCAGUUUUGACAUUCUCUUCUGGAUACUGACUGUGGUCUAGAGAAACAGCUAAGGAAGGCAAAUCUGAAUUAAAAUCUGGUUCUUGGGAAAGAACUGAAGUUUUCAGAUUUUGCAAAAUUAUGGAGAGUGCAGACUAGGAGAAAAAGGACAGGCAUAGUUGUGACAAGGAGCUAUUUUUUCUAGUUCUGCAUUCUAGAAACAGUACUGAUGAGUCCAAAAAUAUAGAGAUAAAAUUUUGUCUUUUUUCUUGCUUUAAAAAAAAAUGCUUCUAAAUGUCUACAUACUUGCCUAAGAAAAUAUUUCUCAACUCCUCCAGAAUAUUUAGGGUUAACUAAAAAUUAUAAAAACAUACCACAGAGCUAGUCCACUCUUUAUGCCUAGGGUUUACCCAAAAGGUCUGCAUGCUCUGGCUUGGAGACCCUGACCCCAUCUCAACUUGCUGGUUUCAAGUCUACAUAUUUGGCUGCAAAGCCCUAAUGCCAGGAGGAAUGCGGAACUGACGAGUCCACCCCAUCUACAAGCUAGAAGGACAUCUUGAUUAAAUUAGUGUCAAGGGCAGUGGAGAGAAAGGCACAGUGACACAAAGGGUGUUUUGAGGAGCCCUGUAGCGCCUGUGGAGAAUGAAUGUUCUUGUUAAAUAUGGCCGUGACCUGCAGCUCCACACAUGCCAGAGACACAGCUCAAUUGUCCCCAGGAUUUGGGGGGUGGGGACGAUCAUGGGGAGAGGACAGCCUGGCAUGGAAAGGCAGGAAUGCAGGAAGGCCUGUUGUUGUUUUCUUUUUGCGAUAACUACAGCAAGCAAUUCUUUGAUCAUGGUCCUUGUGUUUGGAAGGGAUCAAGAAGCGAUUUCCUUUCCCCUGGGUGUUUGAACCUUUGCUCUGCUCCUUGCUUCUCUGGGUAUUAAGGGGACUCCUGAAAGCCCCCAUUGUCUUCAGCCUCUUUCCACCCCCUUCCUUGGGGCUCCCCAAGAAGAUUGUUGCCUGAACUCUGUAGGGCAAGAAUGAGAAGCAGUGCCCCCAAGACAGUGCCUACCCUUGUCAUUUACCCACCAUCCUCAUCUCAUUUAUCCUUAAGUCCCAAGACCAAAGCAAAGAACACAUGGGCUGUUGAAGGCUUCCACAGGACUGCCCUGGUCAGUGGGAAAGCAGUAAUGCUUUCUAGCUGGGUAACCCCUUGGCUGAGUUCCAUCUGCACUGUGGCCAGGGUGCGUGGUGAGACAUGCUUUUGCCAUUUGCCCUUUGAACUGCCAACAAUCCCAAUGUAGCAAAUGGGAUUUAAAGCAAAUCUAAAGCUGAUUGAGUUUUAGAUUUCUUUCCUUUAACCAGAAUAUUCUAGCAGCUUAUUUUUAUAGUUCUGCUUAUAUGAUUCUCUUUUUAACAGAUGGAAUCACAACCUUUUCUGCAGAAUAUAUCUGAUGAAUUUAAAAACUGAUACAUCAAGAAUAUUCUUUUGUAUAUGUCUUUCUUGCUGUGAAAAUUUAUGGCCUUUCUUCCCCCUAUCUUCGCUCUGUAAUUAUUAGGUGCUUACUAUAUGCAAGGCAUUGUAUAAGAUUAGGAGAAUACAGAUAAGACAAAAUAGCAUUGAAGGAGUUUAUGAGUUCAAUUCCAACUUCACCAAUUAAUAGUUGUUCUCAUGGACAAAUUUUUUGACCUCUCUAAGCUUUAGCGUCUGUAAGUACUAAGUGCUUUUUGUGCAGAGAGAUGUAGAGAGGUGAAAUUUGAGCUGGAUUUUUAGUGAAUGAAAAUGAUUUCAGUAAUUAAAGAUGAAAAAGUACGGAGUUUGUGAGCAUGGAGGGGGAGCUGGAGUCAAAGGAUAUUCCAUAUGGAAGAACAGGCUUCAGGAUGAAGGAGAGCACCGGAAUGUGUGAGGACUCUUCAGAGGGUGAAUGCUUUGGUUACCACGUCCUGGGAAAUGAACAACUUAAAACGUAAGU